CUACGGGGUGCUCCAGUGAGGAAUAUUGCACAAUGGGGGGAACCCUGAUGCAGCAACGCCGCGUGGAGGAUGACGCAUUUCGGUGUGUAAACUCCUUUUAUAUGUCAAGAAAAUGACGGUAGCAUAUGAAUAAGCACCGGCUAACUCCGUGCCAGCAGCCGCGGUAAUCGGAGGGUGCAAGCGUUACGCGGAAUCACUGGGCGGAAAGGACGCGUAGGCGGGUUGGAAAGUCAGGUGUGAAAUCCUACAGCUUAACUGUAGAACUGCACUUGAAACUUCUAAUCUAGAGUAUGGGAGGGGGAGAUGGAAUUAGUGGUGUAGGGGUAAAAUCCGUAGAUAUCACUAGGAAUACCUAAAGCGAAGGCGAUCUCCUGGAACAUUACUGACGCUAAGGCGUGAAAGCGUGGGGAGCAAACAGGAUUAGAUACCCUGGUAGUC
rnacentral:rRNA from 1 species